rnacentral:rRNA from 1 species
CUGUGCCUACGGGAGGCAGCAGUGAGGAAUAUUGAUCAAUGGUCGGGAGACUGAACCAGCCAAGCCGCGUGAGGGAGGAAGGUACAGAGUAUCGUAAACCUCUUUUGUCAGGGAACAAAGACUGGGACGCGUCCCCGGAUGAGUGUACCUGAAGAAAAAGCAUCGGCUAACUCCGUGCCAGCAGCCGCGGUAAUACGGAGGAUGCGAGCGUUAUCCGGAUUUAUUGGGUUUAAAGGGUGCGCAGGCGGUCUGUUAAGUCAGCGGUCAAAGCCCGGGGCUCAACCCCGGCCCGCCGUUGAAACUGG